rnacentral:rRNA from 1 species
CCUACGGGAGGCAGCAGUGGGGAAUAUUGCACAAUGGGGGAAACCCUGAUGCAGCGACGCCGCGUGAGUGAAGAAGUAUUUCGGUACGUAAAGCUCUAUCAGCAGGGAAGAAAAUGACGGUACCUGACUAAGAAGCCCCGGCUAACUACGUGCCAGCAGCCGCGGUAAUACGUAGGGGGCAAGCGUUAUCCGGAUUUACUGGGUGUAAAGGGAGCGUAGACGGCAGCGCAAGUCUGGAGUGAAAUCGCAUGGCUUAACCAUGGAACUGCUUUGGAAACUGUGCAGCGAGAGUGCAGGAGAGGUAAGCGGAAUGCCUAGUGUAGCGGUGAAAUGCGUAGAGAUUAGGAGGAACACCAGUGGCGAAGGCGGCUUACCGGCGGCGAUCUGACGCUGAGGCACGAAAGCGUGGGUAUCGAACAGGAUUAGAUACCCUAGUAGUC